rnacentral:rRNA from 1 species
CUACAUGAAGCUGGAAUCGCUAGUAAUCGCGGAUCAGAAUGCCGCGGUGAAUACGUUCCCGGGUCUUGUACACACCGCCCGUCACACCAUGGGAGCCGGGAAUGCCCGAAGUCAGUGGCCCAACCGCAGGGAGGGAGCUGCCGAAGGCAGGCCCGGUGAACUGGGGUGAAGUCGUAACAAGGUAGC